CACUAUCGUUAACUGAAUACAUAGGUUAACGAGGCGAACCGGGGGAACUGAAACAUCUAAGUACCCCGAGGAAAAGAAAUCAACCGAGAUUCCCCCAGUAGCGGCGAGCGAACGGGGAGCAGCCCAGAGUCUGAAUCAGCUUGUGUGUUAGUGGAACGGUCUGGAAAGUCCGACGGUACAGGGUGAUAGUCCCGUACACCAAAAUGCACAGGCUGUGAACUCGAAGAGUAGGGCGGGACACGUGGUAUCCUGUCUGAAUAUGGGGGGACCAUCCUCCAAGGCUAAAUACUCCUGACUGACCGAUAGUGAACCAGUACCGUGAGGGAAAGGCGAAAAGAACCCCGGCGAGGGGAGUGAAAAAGAACCUGAAACCGUGUACGUACAAGCAGUGGGAGCACCUUCGGGUGUGACUGCGUACCUUUUGUAUAAUGGGUCAGCGACUUAUAUUCUGUAGCAAGGUUAACCGUAUAGGGGAGCCGCAGGGAAACCGAGUCUUAACUGGGCGUUAAGUUGCAGGGUAUAGACCCGAAACCCGGUGAUCUAGCCAUGGGCAGGUUGAAGGUUGGGUAACACUAACUGGAGGACCGAACCGACUAAUGUUGAAAAAUUAGCGGAUGACUUGUGGCUGGGGGUGAAAGGCCAAUCAAACCGGGAGAUAGCUGGUUCUCCCCGAAAGCUAUUUAGGUAGCGCCUCGUGAAUUCAUCUUCGGGGGUAGAGCACUGUUUCGGCUAGGGGGUCAUCCCGACUUACCAACCCGAUGCAAACUACGAAUACCGAAGAAUGUUAUCACGGGAGACACACGGCGGGUGCUAACGUCCGUCGUGAAGAGGGAAACAACCCAGACCGCCAGCUAAGGUCCCAAAGUCAUGGUUAAGUGGGAAACGAUGUGGGAAGGCACAGACAGCCAGGAUGUUGGCUUAGAAGCAGCCAUCAUUUAAAGAAAGCGUAAUAGCUCACUGGUCGAGUCGGCCUGCGCGGAAGAUGUAACGGGGCUAAACCAUGCACCGAAGCUGCGGCAGCGACACUAUGUGUUGUUGGGUAGGGGAGCGUUCUGUAAGCCUGCGAAGGUGUGCUGUGAGGCAUGCUGGAGGUAUCAGAAGUGCGAAUGCUGACAUAAGUAACGAUAAAGCGGGUGAAAAGCCCGCUCGCCGGAAGACCAAGGGUUCCUGUCCAACGUUAAUCGGGGCAGGGUGAGUCGACCCCUAAGGCGAGGCCGAAAGGCGUAGUCGAUGGGAAACAGGUUAAUAUUCCUGUACUUGGUGUUACUGCGAAGGGGGGACGGAGAAGGCUAUGUUAGCCGGGCGACGGUUGUCCCGGUUUAAGCAUGUAGGCUGNNNNNNNNNNNNNNNNNNNNNNNNNNNNNNNNNNNNNNNNNNNNNNNNNNNNNNNNNNNNNNNNNNNNNNNNNNNNNNNNNNNNNNNNNNNNNNNNNNNNUUGUCCAGGCAAAUCCGGAUAAUCAAGGCUGAGGUGUGAUGACGAGGCACUACGGUGCUGAAGUAACAAAUGCCCUGCUUCCAGGAAAAGCCUCUAAGCAUCAGGUAACAUCAAAUCGUACCCCAAACCGACACAGGUGGUCAGGUAGAGAAUACCAAGGCGCUUGAGAGAACUCGGGUGAAGGAACUAGGCAAAAUGGUGCCGUAACUUCGGGAGAAGGCACGCUGGUGUGUAGGUGAAGUCCCUGCGGAUGGAGCUGAGACCAGUCGAAGAUACCAGCUGGCUGCAACUGUUUAUUAAAAACACAGCACUGUGCAAACACGAAAGUGGACGUAUACGGUGUGACGCCUGCCCGGUGCCGGAAGGUUAAUUGAUGGGGUUAUCCGUAAGGAGAAGCUCUUGAUCGAAGCCCCGGUAAACGGCGGCCGUAACUAUAACGGUCCUAAGGUAGCGAAAUUCCUUGUCGGGUAAGUUCCGACCUGCACGAAUGGCGUAAUGAUGGCCAGGCUGUCUCCACCCGAGACUCAGUGAAAUUGAACUCGCUGUGAAGAUGCAGUGUACCCGCGGCAAGACGGAAAGACCCCGUGAACCUUUACUAUAGCUUGACACUGAACAUUGAGCCUUGAUGUGUAGGAUAGGUGGGAGGCUUUGAAGCGUGGACGCCAGUCUGCGUGGAGCCAACCUUGAAAUACCACCCUUUAAUGUUUGAUGUUCUAACGUUGGCCCCUUACCGGGGUUGCGGACAGUGUCUGGUGGGUAGUUUGACUGGGGCGGUCUCCUCCCAAAGCGUAACGGAGGAGCACGAAGGUUAGCUAAUCCUGGUCGGACAUCAGGAGGUUAGUGCAAUGGCAUAAGCUAGCUUGACUGCGAGCGUGACGGCGCGAGCAGGUGCGAAAGCAGGUCAUAGUGAUCCGGUGGUUCUGAAUGGAAGGGCCAUCGCUCAACGGAUAAAAGGUACUCCGGGGAUAACAGGCUGAUACCGCCCAAGAGUUCAUAUCGACGGCGGUGUUUGGCACCUCGAUGUCGGCUCAUCACAUCCUGGGGCUGAAGUAGGUCCCAAGGGUAUGGCUGUUCGCCAUUUAAAGUGGUACGCGAGCUGGGUUUAGAACGUCGUGAGACAGUUCGGUCCCUAUCUGCCGUGGGCGCUGGAGAAUUGAGGGGGGCUGCUCCUAGUACGAGAGGACCGGAGUGGACGCAUCACUGGUGUUCGGGUUGUCAUGCCAAUGGCACUGCCCGGUAGCUAAAUGCGGAAGAGAUAAGUGCUGAAAGCAUCUAAGCACGAAACUUGCCCCGAGAUGAGUUCUCCCUGAGACUUUAAGUCUCCUGAAGGAACGUU
rnacentral:rRNA from 1 species